CUCAGUGGCGGGCGAGAAACUUCGCAGAGAGAUUGUGCACGGGAGUCUACUGUGAUGGCUACAGCGGAUCAUCUGCCUCCACCUUGCCCUGUUCCACCAACUGACCUCAUGUCCUCCUUCACAACAUCAACAAAGCUUCUCCGCGGACUUCUUCUUUUCCUUCUGCUCAGCAGCUCCAUCUCCAACCAAAUUUGUCCAAUAUAUUCACACUAUCCCUCCUGUGAAAUGAUCAUUUCAGACAGAUCUAAUACUGCAGGAGAGAAACUGGGCAAUCAGGGGAAAAAGGAGCGAUGGAAAAGGCAGCGAGAGAUAGUUGGGAGGUGUACCAUGCUCGCGGGACAUGAGUAGUCACUCAGAAGUAGGCCACUGCUGUAGCUUCAUCAUAAAUACAUGCAAGCGCUACAACACUUUCUCGCUAUAUGCUGCUUUUUGAAGAACAGAUUAUUGACCACCUGCACUAUUCAGUUCAACUUCAACUGUGUCUUCUAAACACAGUAGGACCGUCGCAACGACUCAUUGGUUUCUGUGAAUUUAUUUGUUAUUUUAAAUUUGUAUAUUUUUGUGUUUGACAACUCAUUUCCAUGUUACGUGAAUCUUGAAGCAGAGCACCAAGGUUUUUUUUUCCUUAUAGAGUCACAAUAUUUAAUUUUUGACUUGAAUCAUGACCACUUCCUCGACGCAGAUCACCUCAUUCUCAUUCUCUCUCUGUGAUGUGCAGAAAAAAGACGAUUAAAGUGAAUUUUUCAGCCUGGUCACAGAUGGUUGGAAUAAACACUACUUCCGCCUCCAUCUCUCAUUACAGCCACGGUGAAUAAUGCCAGGCCUCGAUGGAAAAAUCUGCAAGAACAGCAGGCAGAUUUUCAGAGCGUCAUAAAGUCAGCACAGAAGAUAAGUAAACACGUUUCUUUGAGCCAUCCCUCACUCUUAUCCUAUUUGUUUUUGUUUAAAUAAAUGGGUCCAUCAUU